rnacentral:rRNA from 1 species
UGGGGAAUAUUGCACAAUGGGCGCAAGCCUGAUGCAGCCAUGCCGCGUGUGUGAAGAAGGCCUUCGGGUUGUAAAGCACUUUCAGCGAGGAGGAAGGUGGUGAGCUUAAUACGCUCAUCAAUUGACGUUACUCGCAGAAGAAGCACCGGCUAACUCCGUGCCAGCAGCCGCGGUAAUACGGAGGGUGCAAGCGUUAAUCGGAAUUACUGGGCGUAAAGCGCACGCAGGCGGUUUGUUAAGUCAGAUGUGAAAUCCCCGGGCUCAACCUGGGAACUGCAUUUGAAACUGGCAAGCUAGAGUCUCGUAGAGGGGGGUAGAAUUCCAGGUGUAGCGGUGAAAUGCGUAGAGAUCUGGAGGAAUACCGGUGGCGAAGGCGGCCCCCUGGACGAAGACUGACGCUCAGGUGCGAAAAGCGUGGGGAGCAAAACAGGAUUAGAUACCCUGGUAGUCCACGCUGUAAAACGAUGUCGAUUUUGGAGGUUGUGCCCUUGAGGCGUGGCUUCCGGAGCUAACGCGUUAAAUCGACCGCCUGGGGAG